AGUGAACGCUGGCGGUAGGCCUAACACAUGCAAGUCGAACGGCAGCACAGUAAGAGCUUGCUCUUACGGGUGGCGAGUGGCGGACGGGUGAGGAGUACAUCGGAAUCUACUUUUUCGUGGGGGAUAACGUAGGGAAACUUACGCUAAUACCUCAUACGACCUACGGGUGAAAUCAGGGGAUCUUCGGACCUUGCGCGAUUGAAUGAGCCGAUGUCGGAUUAUCUAGUUGGAGGGGUAAAGGCCCACCAAGGCGACGAUCCGUAGCUGGUCUGAGAGGAUGAUCAGCCACACUGGAACUGAGAAAAGGUCCAGACUCCUACGGGAGGCAGCAGUGGGGAAUAUUGGACAAUGGGCGCAAGCCUGAUCCAGCCAUACCGCGUGGGUGAAGAAGGCCUUCGGGUUGUAAAGCCCUUUUGUUGGGAAAGAAAAGCAGCAGGUUAAUACCCCGAUGUUCUGACGGUACCCAAAGAAUAAGCACCGGCUAACUUCGUG
rnacentral:rRNA from 1 species